AUUACCUAGUCAAGGAACUAGUCCCUUGACCAUUGGUGGAUUAAUAGAAGCCAUCAAUCAGUCAUGCUAAUUACAAAAAUUCAAGCUCGGGGUGUUAGAUUCUGCACUCCCUGCACAAGAUAAGGAUAUAAUAGAACAUCAAAAUUAUACAUUCUAAGUAGAUCACGAUCAAUGUCGAACUUGUUUGUGUUAGUUUUUCCCCUAAAAGGCGGCAUGAGAAUUCUGUCCUCUUACCUUCCAGGGGAUUUGUUCAACAUAUGAAAGCCAUUUAACUGACUUUAAUCCAUUCCUAAGUUAGCAAGAUCACAGUCGGCAGCCUGAUUAUACAAGUGGAUAGUGGCCAAUAGAAGUUACUACUAUCUACAGGGAGGAGAGAGCAAUAUGGGAAAUUCCAUUUGAUUAAGCAAAAAAAGAGGGUGAUUAUUUUGUAAGUCUCCUCUCAUUACUUAUAGAUCGAUAAAGCUCUUAAUCUUAGAACUAUUUCACGUUACCAUAAAACCUUUUUUGAAUUACAUAUGUGAUAUAGAUUGAAUGGAACACGACCAACCGUUACAUCUUUCUCAAACUAGUUUAAUAGUUGUUGAAGUUGUUCAUGGAAUUUUUAUGUUGGAUGAACAAUAAUGUCACGGCCCGACCAGAGGCCCUGUCCGCGACGGGCAUCUCGAACCACAACCCGCUAGUGAUAUUAUCUGCUCUGGGCCUAGGCCCGCACGGCUUUAAAGUAAGGUUUUCUCACUUAUAUACCCAGCAUCCCUCUUGUGUUUUGCCGAUGUGGAACUCCUUGUAUUACAAAUAAUUUUUGAUUGAGGAGGGAUUUCAUCAAGGCAUAGUGGUUAAAUUAUCCAUGGGAUCAUUAGAUUUGCCAAUUUUAAGAUCAAUUUUGCCUAAGUUCCUCUGCGUUAAGGGAUAUUGUCCCGUCAUGUUGCUAGUUCAAUAUGAUGAUUUUGUAGCUACAUUAUCAAGAGCAAUGAAUUAUUUCAGGCAAAGAUAUUCAAACUAGGGUUUUCCCCUAGAUAAACUGAGGAAACUUCACGUGCAGCAGUAUUGAUCUCGUUUCCAAAACUUCUGGACGAAUGUUUUUGCUAAGAGGUCUUAGCUUUCCAUUGCUUCGGCAGUAGGAAAACUUACGGUUGUGGACAAGUGAGGUCUAGUCCUAGCAUGACUAGGGAUGGGGGUGUCCUCGACGUACAAAACAAGCAUCCCGAUCUUAUUCAACUUUAAGCUAUGGACUUUUUACAGGCAUAAUCAUUGAGGAGUUUCGGGAGGUAGUGUUAUAUAAAAUUCCUCAACACUGCACCCAUUUUAAGUAUCAAAUUCAUAAUGAAAAGAAGUGCCUAUGUUAAGUGGAAAAAUGUGGUGGUUCAAAAAAGAAGAUGAUAUGGUGGUAAAGAUUGAGGAUGCUUCGGUUGAGAAAUUGCUGGAAGAAGCAACAACAAAAGAGAGACAACAUGACAGAGAUUCCAAUAGGUCGAGCAUUGGCAGGGUGUCAGAGAACCUAGCUAAAAGCUCACAGGCUGGAACAAGAUUUUGUUCUAGAUGUGUCCUAAUCUGAAUGGGAAUGAGGGUAGUCUAUCGGGUAAUAAUAAGAGGAAGUCCAUUCUAUUAGUGGCAAUAAAAAUCAGGUGGUUAUGGUUUGGCUGGCUUACGCAAACAAUCUGUUAGUCCUCGAAUUGGCAAAAAAAAUUAAUGUGACAACUGAACAAGGCUGAUACAAACCUUAGGAGAACUACACCCAAAAGCUAGCUAUUAAGAUGGGAGAGCCCAAGGCUAUAUAAGCCCCGCAUCAACUUCCCAUUUAACCGAUGUGGACUCAAGUCCCACACCUUGUAAUAGGAUCAUAUCAAACCACCACACUCCGCAUCUGUCGUUCUCGACGGCUUCACUCUAGGUAGCUUUUGUUAUAUUCCGAAUACGAAAUCUGUAUAUUACAAUAUAAACUUGGCGAAAUGGUCUCUUGGACAAUAGUACUUGUCCUGAUUUGUAAAAUAUACACUUCUACUUACACUUUUGUCAUCUGGACCUUUUAACCCACCAAAACAAAGUAUUUUAACACUUUUACCUAUCAAAACAUAAUAUUUUACACUCAUUUUUCAUCCAAUUAAUAUGAACGUAAUACACUCAUUUACAUGUGGCAUGCCACAUCAUUUUAAAUGACACAUAGAAAAUAAAUAUUCAAAAUAUAUAUAAAAUAUAAAUAAUACUUUAUAAAAAAAAAUACUCCCCCACCCCCGCCCCCCUCAUUCUUGUCUUCUUCCUACCAUCAUCAAUCCAACAAUGGAGAAUUCAAUUUAUCCAUAUUUCCUCAUAAAAAGAGCACAAAGUUCAUGCCAAGUAAGUAGAAUUUUUUUUCUAAUUUGACUUAGAAAUUUCAAUUAUAUGUUCAUAAAUACAAACUCCAAUAAAUUACAAUUAUAAUUUUGGAUUGAUUUCACAAAUUCACAAGACUCAUUUCCUAUUCUUCAAGGUUAUUUAAGCUUAUUAAUGAAGUUAUUCAAUACCCACCAUUAUACCCAUAUUCAUACUUCCUCUUUGAAUCCAACUAACACAAACAAUGAUUUGAACUUUUUCAAAAUUUAAAAUAUUAAAAAUUUAGAUAAAGAGGAGUACAUUUGGAUUAUUGAAAACAAAAUAAUUUUAUGAUUCUUCUUUUUGGAUUUUCGGUCAUCAAUUAAAGAGGAAGGGAGAGAGAAUUAGGGUGAAGAAGAUGAAGUAGAGAAGAAAGGAAGAGAGAGUUCGGGUUAGUGGGGUGAAGAAGAUCAAAUAGAUUUNNNNNNNNNNNNNNNNNNNNNNNNNNNNNNNNNNNNNNNNNNNNNNNNNNNNNNNNNNNNNNNNNNCAAUGAAGAAGAAAAGUUUUUUUUUAAUGUACACAAUUUUAUAAAAAAAAUUAUAGGCAAAUUUUUUGACACCACCACAAUGCGUUUUUCAAAAUCAUCAACUUAAUGUCACAUAUGCAAAAAUGGGUUUAAAAUAUUCACUUUUAAUAGGUUAAAGGAUCCAGAUGACAAAAGUGUAUGUAGAAGUGUCUACUUUACAAACCAGCACAAGUACAAGGGUCCAUCGAGCCAUUUCGCCUAUAAACUUCAACACUAAAUUUAAGAACUACAAUGAAGUUCCGACAAAUUCAUACACAAGUUCAAAUCAACUAUCAAAAUGAAGUUUGUCUCAACUUUAAGAAUUGAAGGUGAAAUGGAAAAAGAUAGAAUCAAGUCCACCGAAUUCACGGUGUAUCCUUAAGAAAUUUAUUCCCCUCAAGUACCCGAGGUUAAUUGAAUCUUUCUUCCCAGGAUAAAAUGAUUCCCUUCAGAAGAUAACGGUACCUCAAAUUUGUUGAAAUUUUGAACUCACUCAAUGAUUUAAUGAUCACACGAGAGUUUUUAGAACAAAAAAUAGAUGUUUUUUAACUCAAAAACGUACAUUUACCUGAAGAAAAGUUCAGGUAUUUAUUGCCAAAAGGUGUUGCUUCGGAAGGAAAGCAAUAGUUCACAAAAAGAGAACUUUCUGAAAUGUCAUUCCACCUACGCCUGGUCUGCAUUGGACCUACGGCCGCAGGUGAUAUUUUGCACAUUAUAGUGAGGUCUGCGCUACACCUGCGCCUGCAGGUCACAAGGUGCACACGCAAAUGACUUUUUCACCCGAAACAAUGUGUUUCUUGCAUCGAAGGAUCACAUCCCUUCGAGGUGCGUUGUGAUUGCGUUCGCACUGUGUCCGCAAAUGGAGAAAAAUAUUUCUAUUUGAUUUUUGGAGUAAAACUUCUCUUAUUUAAGUUUCAAAUAAAGUUUAUCCAAAAAAUUAAUCUCUCGAUCAUUUGAAAAAUUCAAAUUUAAAGUCGAAUCCCAUUGUGAAUCCAAAAUCGGCGAAGCCGAAGUCGAGCGAGCGACGACGACGACACGAGGCAUCUCUUGUUCUUGUCUCACCAUCCACACGAAAGAAUGCUUCUCAAUAUAAGCAUAAGAAAAUUUCUUUCUCCCACUAAUGUGAGAGAACUUUACUUCUUUAAAUUGAUAGUGCAGUUCACUUUUCCCUACUGUUCCCUUCAUUUUCUAUUCACAUAUUCACUUAGAAACAAACAAUCCCCUAUACGUGAAUGGAGAAUGACUGUCUUAUAAAAAAAUUUACGAACAAGUGUGUGAUCAACAAGUAAAGACUAAUUGCAUCUGAAUAAGUAGGUUUUUCUUUGAACUUUUCGUAGUGAAAUUGCAUCGAAAGCACUUGGUCAAUCGGUAGGUGUGAUAUCUUUGUACUGUUGAACUUUAAUGUACACCUAGACAACAUAAGUCAUACAACCAGCCUUUUACCGUUUAUGAUUCUCACAAUUUUAUUCGUUUCAGCCAUGAACACGACGUGGUUUCAUUAAAAUUUAGAGAAUAGGCCGUUACUAUCAUUCUCCUUAAAGCGGCUUCCACUUCACCCCUACAUAGGUGAUUUUUAAACGUUUAAUCCUUUAAAUCAAACUAUUUGGUCAAACCUACCAAACUUAGAAAUCAUCAAAAUGCUUUAAACCAUAAGUCUUAUCCUUGUUUUCUGAACAUUGUCUUCAUCAUGAGAAUGAGUUCAGUAUAUUGACAAUGUGGAACUAUCAGUCACAACUUUGUUUGAUCUCCUUGAACUUAGAUCUUGGAAUCUCUAUUCUGCUAGGUAGAGUUACUGCCACGAUGAAUUGUCCUAGGCCUUAAACCUAUAUUCUUCGAUCAUCUCUCAACUCUCUCUCUAAAUAGACUUUUUGUAAGUGGAUCCGACACAGUAUCCUUUGACUUCACAUAGUCAAUCGUGAUAAUUCUACUAGAGAGUAGUUCUCUAAAGGUAUUAUAUCUCCACCUUAUAUGGCGAGAUUUACUAUUGUGAAUCAUGCUCCGUGCCCUAUCUAUUACCAUUUGACUAUCAUAAUGUAUACAUACAGGAACCAAAUGUUUGGGCCAAUAAGAAAUAUCUUCCAAAAACUUUCGGAGUCAUUCAGCUUCUUCAUCAACUUUAUCUAACGCGAUAAAUUCAGAUUUCACUGUAGAGUGGGCAAUACAUGUCUGUUUGAAUGAUUUUCAAGAGAUUGCUUCUCAUCCUAAAGUAAAUACACAUCCACUGAUAGAUUUUACUUUAUUCGAUCCGGUGAUUCAAUUUGCAUUACUAUAUCCUUCGAUUAUCGUUGGAUAUUUGUUAUAAUGCAAAGCAUAGUCUUGAAUGUAUUUUAGAUAACCCCAAAACUCUUUCCAUUGCCAUCCAAUGAGUUUGACUAAGAUUACUCGUGUACAGACUCAAUUUACUAAUAGCACAUGUUGUGUCUGGUCGCAUAUAAUUCAUUAUAUACAACAAACUUCUCGACACUCUUGUGUAGUCCAACUGUAAGUCAUUUUCACCUUCAUUCUCUUAAAGUGCAAAGCUCACGUCUAAUGGAGUCUUGGCAAUAUUGAAGUCCAAAUACUUGAACUUGUCAAGUACUUUUUCAAUGUAAUGAGACUGUUGUCAACCUUUGUGAAGUUCUAUGAAUUCUUAUCUCUAAGAUCACAUCAGCAACUUUGAGGUUUUUUGUAUCAAACUUGCUCUCAAGUAUUUAUUUGAUUGCACUUAUAUCAGAAAUGUAUCUACUUAUGAUCAACAAAUCAUCUACAUACAAACAAAGAAUGACUUUGUGAUUUGGAGUGUCAUUAAUGUAAACACAUUUAUCACAUUCAUUUAUCUUGAAAUCAUUUGUCAACAUGGUUUGAUCAAACUUUGCAUGCCACUGUUUGAGUGCUUGUUUUAGUACGUAAACUGACUUAACAAGUUUGCACACUUUCUUUUCUUUACCAUGAAGCACAAAACCCUCAGGUUGUUCUAUGUAAAUUUCUUCAUUCAAUUCUCCAUUUAAGAAUAUCAUUUUCACAUCCAUUUGAUGGAUUUCAAGAUCAUAUAACGCCGCUAAUGCAACCAACAUCUGAAUGAGCAUUAUCCUUAUUACAGACGAGUAUGUAUCAAAAUAAUCAAGACAUUAUUUUGGUAUAAAGCCUUUCACAACAAGUCUGUCUUGUAUUUGUCAAUAGUACCAUCAACUUUCAUUAUCCUAGAGGAAGAUCAACCAACUUCUAAGUGUGGUUGCUCAAGAUUGAAUCAAUCUCAUUAUUGACUGCCUCAUUUCAAAAGGAUGAGUCCGAAGAUGACAUCGCAUCUUUAAACGUCUAAGGCUCAUUUUUAAGAAGAAAUAUUAUAAAAUUUGAUCCAAAGGGUUGACAUUCUUUGACUUGUACUACGUCUUGGAUUCUCAUAAUUAAGUACAUUCUUGUUUGGUUCAUUUCGAAGUGGUUUAGAACCUUCACAGGACUGCUCAUGUACAGUUUUAUAUGAAUAAAUGUGUUCAAAGAACGCAGUAUUAUCUAAUUCAAAUAUCGCGGUUUCAAUGAUAUCCGGAUGUUUGGAUUUAUGAACCAAAAAUCGACAUACUUUACUACUUUUAGCAUAUCCGAUGAACACAAACUCCACAGUCUUAGAUCUUGUUUUUACCCUUUUAGGCAUAGAAACUUGCACUUUUGUUAGACUCUCCCACACUUUAAAAUAUUUUAAGUUAGGUUUCCUUCCUUUUCAUUUUUCAUAAGAAAUAAAAUGAGUCUUACUAUGGGGCAUUCUAUUGAGUAUUUGAUUUGUUGUAAGGAUAGCUUCCCCCCCCCCCUCCCCCCGCCCCCAAGUUUUGCGGCAAACUUGAAUUAUGAGUGAGGCAUUCAUUAUUUCCUUUAAUGUUUGAUUUUUCUUUUUUACAAUUCCAAUUGAUUGAGUGAAUACGGGGCAGUAAUUUGAUGGACAAUUUCAUUUUUUAAAUAUAUCUCUGCAAAAGGAAAUUCAUACCCUCCACCCCCUAUCACUUCCUAUAGUUUUGAUCUUUUUAUCCAGUUGAUUUUUAACUUCUGUUUAUAUUGCCUAAAUGCGUCUAUUGCUUCACCCGUACAAUUUAGCAAAUAAACAUAAUUAUAUCUUAUGUAAUCGUCAAUAAAAGUUAUAAAAUACUUUUUUCCACCAUGAGAUGAUGUUGACUUCAUAUCAUAAAUGUUUGUAUGAAUUAAGUCUAAGGUAUUGGAAUUUCUUUCAACAGGCUUAUACAGAUGCUUAGCAUACUUUGAUUCCACACAUUUUUGACACUUUGAUUUAUUGCACUCUAGGUUAGGUAAAAAAUUUAAAUUAAUCCGAUUUCACAAGGUUUGUAAUUGAUAUUUCCUAAACGUUCAUGCCACAAUUCAUUUGACUCAAGUACAUAAGAAGAAAUAGAACUUUUAUUGAUUUCAACAGUCAUUACAUAGAUCUUAAAAAGGCAUUCUGUGAGGUAACCUUUACCUACAUACACUUUUCCUUUAGUAAUUACAACUUUAUCAGAAACAAAUACACAUUAAAAUCUAUCUUUGGUCAGAAGUGAAGUAACCAAGUUCUUUCUCAACCCUAGAACAUGAAGGACAAUGUUCAGUGUCACCACUUUGCCUGAUGUCAUCUUUAAAUAAACUCUUCCCGUUCCUUCAACUUUUGUUGUUGCGGACUUACCCGUAAAAAGUAGCAUACGAUGCAAAUAACUCUUUGUUGGCACAUACGUGGCAGGUGGCACCAGAAUCAAUCCACUACUUUUUAGGAUUAUCAACUAAAUUACAUUCUUAAAGCAUAGCGUAUAGAUCAUCCACUUCAUCUUUGGAUUCAGCCAUGUUAGCUUGAUCCUUCUUCUUGUCUUUCUCAAGGGCCCGACAACCUGUCGACAUGUAGCCAACCUUGCCACAAUUAACAUAACUUUUUUUGAAUUUCUUAUUCGAAGGAUUGCUUUGUUGUCCAGACAAUUUCUUUCAUUUCUUUGAUCUGUUAGGGUCAUCCUCCACAAUAUUUGCUCCACUAAUUAUAGAAUUUCCUUUUGACCUCUUCUCGGUUGCUUUGUUUAUCUUCUUUAAUACGUAACUCACUAUGAGGUCUUCAACUGACAUCUCCUUUUUGUUAUGCUUCAAGUAGUUUUUGAAGUCUUUUUACAAAGGUGGUAACUUCUCUAUUAUAGCCGCUACUUGAAAAGCCUCAUUCACAAUCAAACCUACAUCAACGAUUAAUUGAUUAUAAAAAACAAACUUAAUAUAUUCAAUCAAGGUAUUUACUAUGUUCAUACCUUCCGCUAGGAGAUCAUGGAUGAUUACUUGCAGUUCUUGAACUUGAGAGACGAUAGUCUUAUUGUCUAUCAUCUUAAAGUCAAGAAAUCUUACAACAAUGAUUUUUUCAUUCCAGAAUCCCCAGUUUUAUAUUCCUUUUCCAAAGCACCCACAAUUCUUUCGAGAUUUUCAUACUGUUGUACACAUUGUACAAAUCAUCUUGAAGGCCACUUAAUAUAUAGUUCUUACAUAAGAAAUUCAAGUGUUUUCAAGCCUCUAUUACAAUAAAUCAUUCCUUGUCCGGUGUUUCUUCGCCAAUUUUGGGGCGUUUUUAGAGAUGAAUCUUUGAAGACUUAAAGUAGUCAAGUAAAAGAAUAUCUUUUGUUGUCAACAUUUAAAAUCUACACUUGAAAUUUUUUUGAAUUUUUCCGUUGCUGCCAUAGCUGGUGCAACACUUGAACGGUUUGAAAAUAGCAAUAGUUGUUGCUGCAACACUUGUCAUUCCAUCAUUGGCAUGGAGAUAUUCAACAGAUAUUUUUGUUCUCAUAAACAGACAGCCAAUUUAGUAUGUCAGAAUACUAACUAUAAAGUUCUAAAAACUUCAACACCAACUUGUUUCUAGUUUAAAAAUGAAGUUUUUAUGUUCUUUUAAUCGUAAACUGAAUAAAUUUUAACUCAUGAUGAAGUUUUUAUAUCUUCAAAUAACUAGUACGUUCAAACAAAUCCAAAAUAAAGAUUAUAACAUAAAUUACUUAAGAUGGUUAUUUUGCGGAUAUAAAAUCUGUAUAUUUCAAUAUGAACUUCAACACUAAGUUCAAGAUUAACUUCAAGAAUAAAAAUAAAGUUCUAACAACUUCAAACACAAGUUCAAAUGAAUAAUCAAAUAAACAAUUAAAAUGAAGUUCAUAUCAACUUAAAGAAAUUAAGAUGAAGCAGAAAAGCAUAUAGAAUCAAGUCCACCAAAUUCACGGUGUCCUUAAGAAAUUUAUUUUCCUCAAGUACCAGAGGUUAAUGGAAUCUUUCCUUCUUGGAUAAAAUAAUUUACUUCAAAAAAUAGUGGUACCUGAAAUUUUCUGAAACUUCGGACUCAUUCAACGAUUAGAUGAUCACAUGAGAGUUUUUAGAAGAAAAAAAUAUUUUUAAUUCAACUCAAAAAUUGUACCUUUGCCUGAGGAAAAGUUCAGGUAUUUAUAAUCAUAAAGUGUCCCUUCAGAAAGGAAGUAAUGGUUCUCGAACAGAGAUAACUUUUCUAAAAUGUCAUGGCACUUACGCUGGACCUGCGACUGCAGGUGACGUUUUGCACAUUCCAGUGAGGUUUACGCUACACCUGCACCCGCAGGUCACCAGGUGUGCGCGCACGUCAAUUUUUCGCCUGAAACAGCGUGUCUCUUGCCUCGAAGGUUCACAUCCCUUUGAGGUGCAUUGUGAUUGCGUUCGAAAUGUGUCCGCAAAUGGAGAAAAUUACGUCUAUUGAAUUUUUGGAUUAAAACUUCACGUACUUUCAAGUUUUGAAUAAAUCUUAUCAAAAAAUUAAUCUAUCGAUUAUUUGAGAAAUCCAAAUUUGAAUCUGAAGUCGAGCCAAGCGAGCGAUGACAGCAUCACGAGGUAUCUCUUGUUCUUGUCUCACUAUCCACGUGAAGAAAUGUUUCUCAAUAUAAGCACAAGAAAACUUCUUUCUCCCACCAAUGUGGGAGAACUUCCUUCCUUAAUGUGAAAGUUCGCUUCACUUUUCCUUCCAAUUUUUCCCCUUCAUUUUCCAAUCAUAUAUACACUUAAAACCCAAUAGCUUUCACUCUACUUGAGUAGGUAGAUCUUUCUCAGGUAGCAUUUUUUAGUCACAAUGGCCAUGAAGGAUGAUGGGUGACUAAAAAAAAUUUGAUGAAGCUAUCUGGGAAACAGCCCAAGGCUAGCUAUUAAAGUGGGAGAGCUCAAGCAUAUAAGCCCCAUAUUAGCUUCCCAUUUAAUCGAUGAGGGACUCAAUAGAACCAUAACAGAGGCCUUGCAACAAUGGACAUUGUGUAGCCUGACACUUUUGAAGCUAUUUCAUAUAGAUUGAAGCACCAAUGAUUGAAGCAUGUCUAUUUGCUUCUGUAUCAUCAACAGUUUUCACAAGAAUAAUGUCUCUAAAAACUGCUAAAGAAGUAUGGGAUUAUCUUAAUGAAGAGUAUGCUGGAGAUGAGAGAAUAAAAGGUAUGCAAGUUUUAAACUUAAUUAAGGAAUUUGAAUUGCAAAAAAUGAAGGAAUCUGAAACAGUGAAGCAGUAUUCAGAUAAACUUCUUAAUAUUGCAAAUAAAGUGAGGCUACUUGGCUUUAUACUUGCCGACUCAAGAAUUAUUGAGAAGAUUCUGGUAACAGUUCCUGAAAGGUAUGAAGCAACAAUUACGACCUUUGAAAAUAUUAAGGAUUUGUCAAAAAUUAGUUUGACGGAGUUGCUCAAUUCCCUGAAAGCUCAAGAGAAAAGAAGACUCAUGAGACAGGAUGUUACAACAGAAGGGGCUCUAGUCAGUAAGAACCAGGUUGACGAAUUUUCGAAGAAGAAAAAGAAUCAAGCGUUGAGUGAAGGAGAAACAUCAACCAACAACAAAGGUAAGGGAGGAAGUACGAAAAACUUUCCCCCUUGCCAUCACUGUGGAAGAAAAUGCCAUCCACCAUUCAAGUGUUGGAGGAGACCAGAUGCUAAAUGUAAGAAAUCCAAUCAACUUGGACAUGAGGCGGUGAUUUGCAAAAGUAAAGCCCCGCAGCAGGAAGAAAAUGCUCAAGUUGUUGAUCAAGAAAAGGAGGAUCUUUUUUUUGUUGCAACAUGCUUCUCAAGUAAGAUCUCAACAGAUUCUUAAUUAAUUGAUAGUGGGUGCACUAAUCACAUAACUCAUGACAAGAGCCUAUUCAAGGAGUAGAAGCCCACUAAAAUUUUCAAGGUUAGGAUAGGAAAUGGGACCAUCUUCAUGUCAAAGGAAUUGGAACCAUAGCUAUCAAGACUGACACAGGCAUAAAGAAAAUUGCUGAAGUUCUUUAUGUUCCUGAGAUUGAUCAAAACUUGCUAAGUGUAGGACAUCUGAUAGAAAAAGGAUUUAGACUUUUCUUUGAAAAUGAUCACUACCAAAUCAGUAACACUACUGGAAAUGAAAUUUUCAAGGUGAAGAUGAGAGGAAGGAGUUUUUUCUUUAGUCCAACAAAGAAGGAGCAACUUGCUUAUUACAUGAAGGUAGAUGUAACGGAAAUCUGGCACAAGAGACUUGGUCACUGUCAUCUACAAACAUUAUUGUUACUGAAGAAAGAGGAUAUGACAAGAGGACUUUCAACUCUCGUUGAUCACUUACCAAGUUGUCAAGCUUGUCAAUUUGGUAAGCAGAAUAGGAAACCAUUUCCUAAAGCAUCGUGGCGCGCUUCUCCAAGAUUGCAAUUGAUUCACACAGAUGUUGCAGGACCUCAAAGAACACCGUCCUUUAAUGGUAGUCUUUACUAUGUUAUAUUCAUUGAUGACUAUACAAGAUUCUGUUGGAUUUUUUUCAUGAAAUACAAAUCAGAGGUGGCUGGAAUAUUAUGGAAGUUCAAGAAGAUGGUGGAAAAUCAAAGAGGUUGCAGAAUCCAAUCCUUGCGUUCUGAUAAUGGAAAAAGUACUACUCCGUACACUCUGCAACAAAAUGGAGUUAGUGAAAGGAAGAACAGGUAUAUAAUGGAGAUGACGCGGUGCAUGUUGCAUGAAAAAGAGUUGCCAAAAAGGUUUUGGGCUGAGGCAGCUAAUACAGCAGUAUUUCUCCAAAUCGGCUUCCCAGUAAAGCGUUGGAGAGUAAAACUCCAUUUGAGGCUUGGAAUGGAUUCAAACCAUCUCUAACCUUCAUUAAAGUAAUGGUUGUGUUUGUCUCUUUCAUGUGCCGCAGGUUAAAAGAGACAAACUUGAUAAAAGGGCCACCCCGGGAAUCUUUGUGGGUUAUAGCUCAUCCUCCAAAGCCUACAAAAUUUAUGAUCCACAAACAGGGAAGAUGAUUAUUAGUCGAGAUGUGCACUUCAAUGAAGAAGAGAAAUGGGAUUGGAAAAAUAAUCAACUUUCAGUCAAAGCUUCGGAGAAGCAAACAUCCGAUCAAUGGUAAAAUGAGUUAGUAGAUGAUCCUCCAGUUAGAGGUACAAGAUUACUUUUUGACAUCUACCAACAAAGUAAUGUGGCAGUUUGUGAGCCUGCAGGGCACAAGAAUGCGCUUCAAGAUGAAAAAUAGAGAAACGCGAUGGAGCAGGAGAUGCUAAUGAUCAAGAAAAACAACACUUGGGAGUUAGUUGACAGACCGAAAGAUAAAAAGGUCAUUGAAGUAAAAUGGGUAUUUAGAACCAAGCUUAAUUUUGACAGUUCUAUCAACAAAUACAAGGCUAGGCUUGUCGUCAAGGGAUAUGCCCAAAUAUUUGGUGUUGAUUACUCGGAUAUCUUUGCUCCAGUAGCCCAACUAGAUACCAUCAGAAUGUUGCUAGCAAUAGCAGCACAAAAGGGUUGGAAAGUGUUCUAACUAGAUGUCAAAUCUGCUUUUCUAAAUGGUGUAUUGCAGGAAGAAAUCUAUGUAGAGCAGCCCGAGGGUUUCAUUGAGCAAGAAAAAGGAGAAAAAGUUAGUCUGCUUAGAAAGGCUCUUUAUGGCUUAAAACAAGCCCUAAGAGCUUGGUAUAGCAGGAUUGAUGAUCACUUGUUGAGUUUGGGGUUUGUCCGAAGUUACUCUUUAUGUCAAACACAAGGGAACUGAUCUACUUAUUGUUUCCCUUUAUGUUGAUGAUCUCUUGGUGACAGGAAACAAUGUGCGGCCGGUUGAAUAGUUUAAGAAGAAAAUGAUGCAAGUCUUUGAAAUGACAGACCUAGAACUAAUGACAUACUUUCUAGGGAUGGAAAUCAAGCAAGGUUGCAAUGAAAUCUUUAUCUGCCAAAAGAAGUAUGCUAGGGAGAUGCUGAAGAAAUUUCCUAUGGAAAAUUGCAAGGCAACAAGCACACCGAUGAAUCCAAAGGAGAGGUUGAGCAAAGAGGAUGGAACUGAUAGAGUUGAUGAAGGAAACUUCAGAAGCUAGAUUGGAUGCUUGAUGUAUCUCAUUGCUACACGACCCGAUAUUCUAUUUGUUGUAAGUCUUUUGUCUAGGUUUAUGCAUUGUGCUACUAAAAUGCAUUUGCAUACAGCAAAAAGAAUUAUAAGUUACAUCAAAGGUACUGUCGAGUAUGGGGUCAAAUUUAAAAAAGUGUGAGAAUUUCAAGUUGUAUGGAUUCUCAGAUAGUGAUUUGGUCGGAUCCCCUAAUGACAUGAAAAGUACAUCAGGAUAUUGCUUCAGUCUGGGAUCGGGCAUUUUCUCUUGGUGUUCCAAGAAGGAGGAAAAUGUGGCACAGUCCACGGCAGAGGCUGAAUUCAUUGCAGCAACAGCAGCAGUAAAUCAAAUCUUAUGGCUGAGAAAAAUAUUUUCUGAUUUGCAUAUGGAACAAAAGGUUAAUACUGAGAUUCAUGUUGAUAAUCAAGCUGCAAUAGCUAUUUCACAUAAUUCAGUGUUUCACGGGAAGACUAAGCACUUCAACAUCAAGCUUUUUUUCUUGAAGGAUGUGCAGAAAAAAGGAUAAGUGAUUCUUAUUUAUUGCAAAUCCGAAGAUCAGCUUGCAGAUGCAUUUACGAAAUCCCUUCCUGUCAACAAGUUUAAGUUCCUAAGGCAACAACUUGGAAUUUACAGCUCCUAAUGCAAGGAGGAGUAUUAUUAGUUGCUUUAGGACUGCAGAAUUUAUUUAUUUUAUUUCCUGUAUUUCUUUUAUAAGUUAUUAGGAGGUAGUUAGCAUGGUUAGGCACCAUGACUUUAAAGUAGAGCCAUUAUCUAUUUCAAUUUUUUUAAAAAAAUACUUUAUAUAACUACUCUUGGACAGAAAGUAAAUCUCUCUGCACAAGUUUCUCUCUCUCUCUGUGAUCUUCUUCAUUCUCCUGCUUCUUUUCUGUAGUAAUCUAGAUUCUUUUCUGUAGUAAUCUAGAUAUCGUUUGCAUAGUGUUAUGUGCGAUUUGUCUAUUUAAAACUAACACAUAUGAACACAUGGGCGUUUGAGAUCCCUACUCAGUUUAUGGAGUCAUUUCAUGUUUGACAUGCUUACUCUAGGCAGCAACUAAUAUACCAGGAUGUGGAUACGAUUAUGGUCUCAACUCAAGCACAUUCAAGCAACAAGUUUUAAACAAGAGCAACCAAAAACGUGGUACAAGUGUGAAGAGUUCGAAGGGCAUGGAGGAUGCUUAUCCCCUCCAACAUAGCAAAUUGAGUACAGUAGCCCUGCAUUUGUGCCACACCAUUUCAUGGCUUACCCAUCUUUAGCCGUAGGGCAACUUAUUGCUCAAAAGAAAUACGCCUUUAAAUGUUAUGUAUAAUCCUACCUAAAAAGAGAUCUAUUAGUAUGAAUAGUGGCCAAGAGAUAUGAUCCAGGAGCUUUAGUGUAAGAUUCAUCGGAAGCUUUUGGUGGUGAUUUUGAUAUAUUUGAUGAUGAAGAAGCGACUGAAAUAUUGGAUGAAUGCUAUUCUAACGCUAGGACGAAAAUUAUCACCUAGGUAGAAAAGGAGAGGAUUGAAGACACAGAAGACUCAUGAAAAAAAAAAUAAUAGUUAGGAUGGUAAAGUAUUUGAGGAGGUUGUUCUAAUGCACCAUCAAUAAGAGCAACAAACAAAAAGAGACAAGGUUCAACUACAUUACUAAGACCCAAUAGAUCCAAGAAGACCUAGAGAUUUCAAAGCGGUUGCAGGAAGAAGAUAAGGUGAAGAAUCAAACUUUUAUCAGGUUACGUCUCCUUAAAGUUUCACAACUUCAAAGAAACCUGCUUGUCUUUUCCUUUGAGUUUCACUUCAUUAUAUAAAUAAAAAACAAGCCUAAAAAACAAGCCAUGGGCAUCUCGCCUAGGGGAUUUGCUUAAACUAACAAAGAGAUAAAGCUCUUAAACUCUUAUGUGCUGAAAGAUCUCCUUCUAAUAAGAGGAAAUUACUCCAAUACAACUAUGUAAAAAGGUAUUUGAAAAAGUUCUAACUAUUUUCAGAAAAACAAAAAAUACAAUUUAUUUAAAUUUAUAAUUUUUAAAGUAUAUUGUGUAUCGCUUUUUAUAUCUCUAAAAUAGCUCUCCUAAUUAAUAUACAAUAAAUAAGGUAAUACUCUCACAAAUAUAUGUGAUCCCAAGAAUUAAUCUCUUCAUCUUAAUUGUAUAUUUCUGAUUUCCCUUUCUAGUAAUCUUCCUAACUCUUCUUUCUUCCACCUAUUUUAUUAUAUAAUAUCCUAGCUAUAUUCUGUAAAAGAAUGUGCAAGAAACAUAUUGAGUAUCCACUAGAAAAAAGAGAUAAAGGAAUGAUACUCUCAGUCCAUUCGGCAAAAAAGACUUAUCAUUUAAAGUCUAUAUUUUUUUAAAACAUUGGAGAAUCAUGUGCAACGAAUUAAAUCCCUCUAGGCACACUGCUAGGAAUUAAAGGUCUAGGUUUUCUUCUGGGAAUCACAUAAAAUACUAUAACCAUGUCAAAAGCUUUAUUAUGUAGUAUUGGUGAAGUAAGCACACUAAUAACUAGAUGUUAAAUCUUACCCUUAAAAAAAGAUUCUAUCCUCAAACGUGUGACCAAGUGAUCGACAACUUCCCUAGGUAGAGUUAUACAUAUGAGUGUUGGGUUCAAGUUGAAUGUGUGAAUGGAAAAAAUAGAGAGAAAUUGAGAUCACACCUAAAAGCAAAGUGUGCUCACAAUAAGGAAAGUUUACUAAUUCUCCCACAUUGGUGUGGGAGAAAGAAACUUUCAUGUGUUCUUAUUAAGAAACACAACUCCAUAUGGAUAGUGAGGCAAGAAACAAAAGGUGUCUCGCGCCAUCAUCGUUGCUUGGCUCGGCAAAUCAAUCGAUGAGAUUAAUUUUUUAGACAAGUGAACAUACCUUUCCGAUGAACCAUUGCUUCCUUUCCGAAGGGCACUUCAUGGCUAAAAUUUUCUGCAUUGAAAAACUUUCUUUUGCUUCUAAAAACUCUGUGUGAUCAUCUAAUGUUGAGUGUAUUCGCUACUGAUUGUGAACCAUUUUAUCCUGUGAGGAAAAUUUUUUUGAUAGUUCUUCUUGAACUUGUGUUGAAGGUGUUAAAAACUUCAUUAUUGUCCUUGAAAAAAGUCUUGAACUUGUGUUGAAGCUUAGUAUAUAAACAUACAGAUUGUGCACUCGAAACAACAAUGACAUCUUCAAUCUCAAGACAACUCUUAUUAUGAGUGUAUUUGGUUAUAGUCCAUUAGAAUUUGCUACAUGAUAAGAGGGAUACAAACCUACACUAACAUAAUCUGUGAUUUUUACCAAUCCUAGGGUGCUCCCUCAUUCAGUGCAAGGCAAUCACCUAAUGAAAAAGACUGGUAUUUGUGAGCUCCCUGGGUGAAAGGAUAAUCCCACUUUUUUAGCUUAUAUCAUGUCUUGAUGCUUUGCAAAUUAAUGGAGGUUUUAGCUUUACAUCUCCCUCUUUGUAAUCUUUAUUGAUAAUAUGUGUGUGGAUGAACUUAUUUUAAAAAAAAACAUAUUGACAUAAAUUUUCAUUUGUGAGAGAAGGCGACAUGAUCUCUCCUGAAAAAUCAGUUGGUGGAUAUCCUAACCAAGUCUUUCUCCUUGACAAGGUUCCAACUUUUAUGAGACAAACUCAAAGGUGAACGAUCCACCUUCAGUAAUCAUGAAUGAGUUCAAUCUCCAAGUCCAUCUCAAACAUACUCUCUAUUGAUCUUUGUUACGUCUGUCACAUAGUGCUAGCUAAGCAGUGAUGCCUAAACUUUAAGGUAAACUAUCGAAACUUGAUGGGAAGAAAAUCUAAUAGAAGUAUUAAGAAUGAAGUGUUGUUCCGGCGGAUACAAAAAUCUUUAGGUUUCAAACCAAACUUCAAUACUAAGUUCAAGAACAAUUUUCAAGAACUACCAUGAAGUUACAACAACUUCAAACACAAGUCCAAAUAAUAAUCAAAUAAACUAUCAAAAUGAAGUGUUUAUCAGUUUUAAGAAAGAAGAUGAAGUGAAAAUUGUAGAAUCAAGUCUACUGAAUGCACGAUGUCCUUAAGAAAUUUAUUCCCCUCAAGUACCCAAGGUUAUGGAAUCUUUCCUCUCCAGAUAAAAUGAUUCUCUUUAUGAAAAUAGCGGUACCUCAAAUUUUUAUAAACUUCGAACACACUCAAGGAUUUGAUUAUCACAUGAGAAUUUUUAGAAGAAGAAAAAGAUUCUUUUUUCACUCAAAAAAUUGUCUUUACCUGAGGAAAAAUUUAGAUAUUUAUAGCCAUCAAGGUGUUGUUUCAUGAAGAGAAACAAUGGUUCAGAAAGGUGCACUUAUUCAUAAAGGUGCAACUCUUCGUAAAAGGUCAUAACUAUUCAAUCCGAAAAGGUGCCUAUUCAAAAUUGCAUCCUUUUUCUUAGUGUCUUUCCAAAAAAAAAUACCACAUUUUCAUUUUCUAUGCACGCUCUUAAUAACCCAACAAUCCCCCACAUGAAUGGAAAUGGCUAUCUUAUCAAAAAUUUACAAACAAGUAUAUGAUCAACAAGCAAAGACAUAUUACAUCUGGAUAAGUGAGUUUUCCUUUGAACUUUUCGUAGUGAACAUGCAUCGGAUGCACUCGGUCAAUCGGUAGAUUUGAUAUCUUUGAACCGUUGAACUUUAAUGUACACCUAGACAACACAUAUCACACAACCAGUCUUUUAUCAUUUAUGGUUCUCACGAUUUUGUUCAUUUCAGCCAUGAACACGUCCUCGUUUUAUGAGAGUAUAGAUAAUAGGCCUUUACUAACAUUCUCCUUGAAGCGACUUCCACUUCACCCUCACAUAGAUGAUUUCUAAACGUUCAAUCCUAUAAAAUUAAACUAUUUGGUCAAAUCUACCAAAUUUAGAUAACCAUUAAAAAGCUUCACACCAUAAGCUUUAACCUUGUUUCCUAAACAUUGUCUAAAUCAUGAGAAUGAGUUGAGUAUAUUGACAAUGUGAAACCAUUAGUCACAAAUUUAUUUGACCUCCUUCAACCUAGCUCUUGGGAUCUCCAGUCUGCUAGGUAGAUUUACCGCCAUACUGACUUGUCCUAGGCCGUAAAUCCAUUCCCUUCGAUGUUCUCUCAACUCCCUCUAUAUAUAGGCCUUUUGUAAGUAGAUCCGACACAUUAUCCUUUAACUUCACAUAGUCAACAGUGAUAAUUCUACUAGAGAGUAGUUCUAUAACGGCAUUAUAUCUCCGUCUUAUAUGACGAGAUUUACCGUUAUACAUCAUGCUCCCUUUCCUAACAAUCGCCGCUUGACUAUCACAGUGUAUACAUACUGGUGUCAAUGGUUUGGGCCAAUAAUGAAUAUCUUCCAAGAAAUUUUGGAGUCAUUCAGCUUCUUUACCGUUUUAUCUAAUGUGAUAAAUUCAGAUUCCAUUGUAGAGCGGGCAAUACAUGUCUGUUGAAUAAUUUUCGAGAGAUUGCUCCUCUGCCUAAAGUAAAUAUCUACUCAUGAAUUUUACUUCAUUCGAUUCAAUGAUACAAUUUGCAUCACUAUAACAUUCAAUUACCGCUGGAUAUUUAGUAUAAUCCAAAACAUAGUCUUGAGUAUAUUUAAGAUACCCAAAACUCUUUUCACUGUCAUCCAAUGAGUUGCAUUGAGAUUACUCGUGUACCGACUCAAUUUACUAAUAACACACGCUAUGUCUGGCCUUGUACAGUUCAUGAUAUACAUUAAACAUCCCAACACUCUUACGUAAUCCAACUGUGAGUCACUUUCACCUACAUUCUCUUAAAGUGCAAAGCUCACAUCUAAUGGAGUCUUGACAAUACCAAAAUCCAAAUACUUGAACUUGUCAAGUACCUUUUCAAUGUAAUGAGACUGUGACAAUGCCAACCCCUGUGGAGUUUUAUGGAUUCUUAUUCCUAAAAUCACAUCCACAACUCCAAGGUCUUUCAUAUCAAACUUUCUCUGAAGCAUUCGUUUUGUAGUAUUUAUGUCAGAAAUGUCUCUACUUAUGAUCAACAUAUCAUCCACAUACAAACAAACAAUGACCUUGUGGGUUGAAGUGUCUUUAAUGUAAACACAUUUAUCACAUUUAUUUAUAUUAAAUCCGUUUGCCAAUAUGGUUUGGUCAAACUUUGCAUGUCACUGUUUGAGUGCUUUUUUUAGUCCAUAAAGCGACUUAACAAGUUUACACACCUUCUUUUCUUUAUCAGGACCACAAAACCCUCAGGUUGUUCCAUAUAAAUUUCUUCCUCCAAUUCUCCAUUUAGGAAUGUUGUUUUCACAUUCAUUUGAUGGAUUUCAAGACCAUAUGCCGUAGCUAAGGCAACUAACAUCCGAAUUGAUGUUAUCCUUGUUACGGGUGAGUAUGUGUCAAAAUAAUCAAGGCCUUCCUUCUGUUUAAAGUCUUUUACUACAAAUCUUGCCUUGUAUUUGUCAAUUGUACCAUCCGCUUUUAUUUUUCUUUUGAAGAUCCAUUUAGAACCUAAAGGUUUAUUUUCUAGAGGAAGAUCAACCAACUCCCAAGUAUGGUUGCUCAAGAUUAAAUCAAUCUCACUAUUAAUUGUCUUUUUUCAAAAGAAUGAAUCUGAAAACAACAUCGUUUCUUUAAAUAUUUGAGGCUCAUUUCUAGGAGAAAUAUUACCAAAUUCGAUCCAAAUGAAGUUGACGCUCUUUGACGUGUACUACGUCUUGGAUUCUCAUUAUUAUGUACAUUCUUCUUUGGUUCAUCUCGAGGUCGUUUAGACCCUCCACUAAACUAGACAUGUCUAUUUCUAUACGGAUAAAUGUAUUCAAAGAACUCAGCAUUAUCUGAUUCAAUUACUGUAUUUUCAUUCAUAUCUGAUGUUCGAAUUUAUGAACCAAAAAUCGAUAUGCUUUACUACUUUUAGCAUAUCCUAUAAACACGUAGUCCACAGCCUUAGGUCCAAUCUUCACCCUUUUAGGCAUAGGAACUUGGACAUUCGCUAGACACCCCCACACUUUGAAAUAUUUCAAGUUUGGUCUCCUUCCUUUUCAUUUUUCAUAUGAAAUUGAUAGUGUCUUACUAUGGGGCACUCUAUUGAUUAUUCGGUUAGCUGUAAGGAUAGUUUUCCCCCACAAGUUUUUUGGUAAAUCUGAACUUAUAAGUAAGACAUUCAUCAUUUUCUUUAAAGUUUGGUUCUUUCUUUCCACAUUCUCAUUAGAUUGAGGUGAAUACGGGGCAAUAGUUUGCUGGAUAAUUCCACUCUCUACACAUGUUUUUGCAAAAGAAUAUUCAUAUUCUCUACCCCUAUCACUUCUUAUUAUUUUGAUCUUCUUCUCUAACUGAUUUUCAACUUCUAUUUUAUAUUGCCUAAAUGCAUCUAUUGUUCAUCCUUACUAUUUAGCAAAUAGAUAUAACAAUACCUAAUGCAACCGUCAAUGAAAGUUAUAAGAUACUUUUUCCACCACGAGAUGGUGUUGACUUCAUAUCACAAAUGUCUGUAUGGAUCAAGUCUAAGGGAUUGAAAUUCCAUUCAACGAACUUAUACAAAUGCUUAGCAUACAUUGAUUUCAAACACGUUUGACAUUUUGAUUUACUGCACUCAAAGUUAUGCAACCCUUCUAAACUAAUCAGUUUUCCCACGAUUUUAUACUUGUCAUUUCCUAAACGACUAUGCCACAAAUCAUUUGACUCUAGCAAGUAAGAAGAAGCCUCAGUUUUCUUCAUUUCAACAACUAUUACAUAAAGUUUAAAAAGGCCCUCAUUGAGGUAGCCCUUUCCUACAUACGUUUCAUUCUUUCUUAUUACAACUUUCUCCUAAACAAACACACACUUAAACUCAUUUUUAACGAGAAGUAUUGUCGAUACUAAGUUUUUCGUAAUAGUAGGAACAUGGAGAACAUUGUUGAGAGUCAACACCUUGCCGGGAGUCACUUUUGAUAAUAUCUUUCUACUUUCUUCAACCUUGAUUUUUGCAUUAUUUCCCAUAAAGAUCACCUCUUUGGGACCAGUGGGAUCAUAAGUAGCAAAAGUUUCUUUGUCCGCUCAAACAUGUCUAGUGGCUCCUAAAUUAAACCACCAUUCAUUUGGAUAUCCAACAAGAUUACUUUGCAAUGAUCAUAUCAUAUAGAUUUUCAUUCUUUCUAGUUAUUUCUAACAUGUUUAUCCAAUCUCUUUUCUUGUUCUUAUUUCGAAUUUGACUAUUUAGAGCUUUGUGGCCAACAUCACAACAAUAUAGUAAUUGCCUCUGAACAUUUUCUUAUUUUGCUCUUUCUCUUGUCCAGAAGACUUCUUCAUCUUCUUAUUAUUUGGAGCAUCAUCUUUAAUAGAAUUUGCAACCAUUAUUGAAGAUUUUUCAUUCAAUCCAUUAUACUCGUCUAUCUUGGAAUGCCUCACAAGAUCUUUCGAAUCAAACAAUUGAUUUUCAAUCAUAUUUUUCUUUUCUAGAAGAUGAGGAUCUUGUGAACAUUUGCAUCUCAAGUUUGGCCAAAAAAAAUAACAUCAUUUGUUGUCAUUCUUUGAAGUUCACACCAAAAUAUUUUUUUAAUUUCUCUUCCGUUUUUAUUGCUAGAGCAAUACCUGAAUGACUUAAUGAUGCAACAUUAGAUAUCGUGGGACAACACCAUUCACAAUCAAAUCAAUUUAUUGUUCAAUUACAUUCAUCAUUUUUCUGUCAAUCUUUGACAUAUACUCUUUAGUAUUUCAAAAUACUAACAAUAAAGACUUUAAUCUUUAGCCAACUUGUUUCUAAUCAAUGAUAAAGUUCUUAUAUCUUCAAAUUAUCAACCGAAUGAACUUUAAAACAUGACGAAGUUUUUAUGACUUCAAAUCAGAAUCAAAUUCAAACGGAGUGAACCCCCACAUGUUUUAAACUCCAAAAACCAUUAUAAAGAUUUUAAUGAAUCAGUGAAGUUUUAAUAUUCUUCGAAGCGAAUUUUCACAUUGAUUUCUCGAUGAUGUUUUUAUAUUCUUCUAAUCGAGGGAGUAGAAAUCAAAAGAUUUUAGUCUCCACCAAAUUAAACCCAAUGCAGUUAACCAAAUACUUGAUUUAUAAAUGGUGAUAAUUUUUUUCUUUCACCAAACAAAUCAAAAAGAUAAAUAUUUUAAUAAUUUUCUUAAAAUUAUUAUUUUUCUCGGGUUUGGUAAAACCUGUAUUUUCCAACAAUAACUUCAAAUACAGGUUCAAAUUAACAUAUGAACAAUCAAAUGAAAUAUAAACUCCAUAUUUACAACUUUAAAUUUUUAACACUAGGUUCAACCCAACUUAUACACAUCAACAAAAUGAAGUUCAAAAUAUUUUCUGAAAAAUAGCAAAACCAAAUGUUAAGAGCUUCAACACAAGUUCAGCCCACUUAUAACUAUCAAAAUGAAGUUUCAAGAACCUCAAACACAAGUUCAAAAAGUUGAAGCACUAUCAAUAUGAAGUUCAAACUAUUUACUAAAAAACAAUAAACCAAAAACAACACAGAUUAGUAGAAAUUUCUUAAGAUUGUUGUUCCAUCGGGUACAAAAAUAUGUAUGUUUCAAACCAAACUUCAAUACUAAGUUCAAGAACAAUUUUCAAGAACUACUAUGAAGUUACAACAACUUCAAAUACAAUUUCAAAUGAAUAAUCAAAUCAACUAUCAAAAUGAAGUAUUUAUCAACUUUAAGAAAGAAGAUGAAGUAGAAAAUUGUAGAAUCAAGUCCACUAAAUGCACGGUGUGUCCUUAAAGAAUUUAUUUCCUCAAGUAUCCGAGGUUAUGGAAUCUUUUCUCCCAGGAUAAAAUGAUUCUCUUUCUGAAAAUAGUUGUACCUCAAAUUUUAACACACUAACAUUUUCAUGAUCACACAAGAGUUUUUAGAAGAAGAAUUAUAGUAUUAUUUUUUCACUCAAACAAUUGUCAGAAAAAAUUCAGGUAUUUAUAGUCAUCAAGGUGUUGUUUCAUGAAGAGAAGCAAUGGUUCAACUAGGUACAUCACUUAAUAAAGGUGCAACUCUUCAGAAAAGAUCACAACCAUUGAAAAGAUCAUAAUCAUUCAAUCCGAAAAAAUGCCUAUUCAAAUUGCAUCUUUUCUCUUAGUGUCUUUCCAAAAAAAAUACACCACCUUUUCAUUUUCUAUUCAUGCCUCUUAAUAACCCAACAUGAAUACACUCUUAGGUUGGUCAGAGAUAAAGAAACAAACAUAUUUUGAAGGUAGUAGAAAGUUCCCAUAUAUCUUCAAUUUCAUAUAUAUUUAUUGCUUAUUUAUUUGGUGUAUUGUUAAUAUUGUAUGUUCUUUUAGGGGUUCAAUUAAGAGAGAAGGAAUUUAUCCAUCACAUAAUAUCCUUUGGUGGUGUAGUAAUGUUAAAUAUUGCAUACAUGAUACGAUGCAUUAUUGUUUUUUUUGGUCCUACACUUUCAUCACCCAAGUUGCUUCGACUUUCUAAAAGUUUUAUUGCACUCGUGUUGGAUCCUCCAAAAAUGUCUUACUUUUGAAGAAUCCAGCAUACAUUUAAUAACAUUUUUAAAGAGUCCGAGCAACAUAGUUCAUCACUCUUUUGAGUGUUACUAUGAAUAAACAUCUUUAAUUAUUAAAAAAAAAAAAUCGAAAAAAAAAUGUUAGUAUACAAGUUUAGUACAAAAUUUGUUCAAAUAAUGAAGUUGAGCCAAAGGUGAAGAUGGAAAAGCAUUUGGUUUUAGGCUCCCAAAAUAUUAUGGCCCAAAUAUUUUUAACGGUUAAUUUAAUACUUUUAUUUUCAUUUAAAAUAAUAUUAAAAACGGUAAAAAAAAAAAAAAGGUUCAAGAUUUUGUGUAAAACAAAAUAAAAUUAUCUUUUAUCGAAAAUAUUUUAGAACUUUCAAUUAAAUAACUCAAAAUCUUCUUAUUUUAAAUUAAAUUUCCACAACAGCAUCCAAGAUAAUGUAUUGCAAAUACAUCACUUACAUCUUAACUGCUAGUUUUAUAUUAUUAUGCGAGUUUAGCUAAAAGUUUGAUGUCAUUAAGAACAAUAUAUUAAAGCCAACUAUACAAAAAUAAAAAAGAUAACUGUAAAUUGUAUAAUCGCACCGAAACUAAGCCUAUAGCAACUAUUACUAACUCGAAAAAAGAAAACACUUAACAUUUUGGUAUUGACCAGAAUUGAAACUCGAAAUUUCAUAAUUCUCGUUAUGUAUUUGACCAUCAUUAGGCCAACACUUUGAAUCUUUCUCGAUUAAAUGACACUUUUAUCUUUAUCCGAUUAAGAUGAUUUUGAAUUUUUUUUACACUAGCUAGUGUUCAAUCAAGAUUUUACCACUUAACUUAGAAAAAAGUUCGAAAUUACAAGAUCACCAAAAACAACAACAAAAGAACCUAUUGUCAAAACAUUCUUCGCAUGCCCCAAAUAGUACUUGGUAGGUUGCGACAACGCCUCCAAACGUUUGGAUUGGUACGCGCAUGCGCAGGGGUGACAGAGCAGUGACACUAAGAAAACACAAGAGAAUACCAAUGAGCAUUGCUAGCAAAUGCAGUGGCCGAAAAUCAAAAUGAAUUGCAAAAUAUAAAAAUAACAUAGUAUGAACAAAACACAAUGAAAAAAAAAAAAAAGUAUAAAUUUUAAAUCCAUCCUUAUUAGAUAAUUAUAAAUAAAUCUUUUUUGUUACAAUAAUAAUUUAUGUGUUGUCACAUAAUAAAAUUCAUUGAUAGAGAAAAAAAACAUUUACAUUAUCAAUUUACAUGAGAAAUUAAAUCAAGAUAAUAUUGCCAGAACAAUAAUGAAACUCAACAUGGAAACCCAAACAUGGUCGACUGUCAGUCUAAUUAACGAAAGAGUGACAAGAGAGUUGUUCGAAUGCUAAAACCCUGCCCCUCCAAUUUUAAAAUUGUAUACUAAUGACAUUAGUCGUUAGUAAGAAAUAUGAACACACUUAAAUUAUACACUCACAAGUGAAUUUUGAAAUCAUACCCCAAAACAAUAAGAUAAUGAGUAGUUUAAGACCUUAAUAAGUCUAUUUAGUGUGAGAAUGAAUUUAUGUUGACUCAAAUGUCAUCUAAAUAAUUGAAUCCGAUUUUUUUUUUCCAUUGUCUCUAUUUUUCCAAGUUCUUAUUUGGAUGGCCGGAGAACACAUUCCCAUUUUAAGGACCUUUUUUCGCUAUAAAUUUUCCAAGUAGUUUUGGGGGAAAAACUUGACAUAUAGUGUUUGGUCAUACAAUUUGUUAUUAUUUGGCAAAUUCUUUUGCAAAUAAUGCAAAUUCUAAAAUACUAGAAAAAACUAGUAUUUGGGCCAAACUUCAUUUUUUGGGAAUUUUUAAAGUUACGAUAUGUUUCUCAAAUACUAUGGCCAAACACAUGGUGAAACUUCACUCAAAUCUUAACCUAAAAAUGACUUGCCAGAAAUAUUUGGAAAACUAUGACGCUUAGCUAAGGCGAGGGGUGGAAUAGCUUGAAACAACAUAUGUUACGUUGCUUGAACUUCCCAAAAUGUUAUUGAAUUUGUCUUGGAUCCUCCAGAAAUGCAAUACUUUUGAAGGAUCCAACACACAGCCGACAAUAUUUUUAUAGCGUUCGAGCAACAAAAAAAAGAACUAUAUAUAACCCAAAGGUGAAGAGAGCAGUUUAUGUAUGUAAACAAAAUUAGCAUGCAUAUAACAUUGGCACAAACUAAACUAUUCUCGCAACUUAUCUUCUGAAAUGUUUUCUUAUCUAAAAUCUUCAUAUUCUCUUACUCCUAUCUCUGUGAAAUUGCAUUUUUAGUUUUGUGUAUGUAGUCAUAUACCUCAUAAUUUAUUUGCAUCUUCAGAUGUAAAGGUUCGUCGCAUUUAUUUGUAGUGAUAUGAGGAAAUCACUACAAACUAUUCAACUGGAUCACUAAUUCCACUUUAGUAAAACUUCAGUAGAAAAAGAAAUUUAGCCGCAUUUAUUGUAACGACCCAUUUCAUCGUUAUUAAAUUAUCCAUAAUAAAUUCAUGAAAAUUCAUUUCUCAAUAUUAACAUGGAUCCAAAAUAGCAAAUAUUUUAUUUGUUAUGUCACCUCAAAUUUUUCGGUGAAAAUUUUAGCCUUCGGAUAUGUUUAGAUAGACUUAAAUUCAAUGAAUUUAAUUAUGAGUUUUAAUAUCAAUACUUUAGUUUCAAAGUUCUUUAGGAUUAAUUAAGGUUGUACAAUAUCCUAACACAUAGUUAAGUUUAUAACUUUCUUUCCGAUACAAGUUUCGAUAUGGGUUUUCUAUUAGCGCUAACUUCAAACGACCAUAUCUCCUAUAAUAUAAGGAGUUAGGGGUCUCACUACCUACCAAAUCAAAGAUCUCUAAGUCCUCUUUCCAACGCAACAAACCGUUCCUCAAUCCGAAUUAGGCGCAAAAAGUUAUGGUUGUUUUAGUGAGCAAUGUCCGAGCUAAAAUGAGAUUUCGUUGUAGUGAAAAUUCUAAUCAUAUUUAAAUCAGCUUUAGACGUAUUUUAGGUCCAAAAACCUCAAAUUUCAUUCUCCAACCCUAGAAAGGUGAUUUCCCAAAGCUUAAGAUGAAAUUUCUCUGUUGAGGUAAGUUUUUCCAUUAUUUUUCUUCGUCUUUUAAUUCUUUAGCAUCUUAGAAUCCUUAAAAAGACCUUUAAUGGUGGAAUUCUUUUGAGAAUACUCAUGGGUAUUUUUAAUAUGGCUUAGAGCUGAUUCUAAACUAUAAAUUAAAGAGUCCUAACAUUAAUUUCAUAAAUUAGAUUAUAAAUUUCAUAAACUAGAUUAUGAAUUUUGAUGGUUAAGAACCUUGAAUUCCGUCAAAAUAAGACCUUUAGUAUAAAAACUUCAUUAAUGGAGAUGGAUUAAGCUUGAAAUAGCUAAUUAAUAAUUAAUUGAAUUUGGGGGUGAUAUCGGCCUUGAAUUAAGGGUAGAAUUAGUGGUUUGAAUCACCAAGAUAUUUGAUUGAAGAGUAAUUACUUAUUACUCUUAUAUAUAAUUGCUUAAUUUUUAGAUGAUUGAUAUUUCCAAAGCAUGAAGGAAAGAAAAGAGCAUCUUUGUUGCAGCUUAUUUCUUCUAAAAGUUUGGCGUCCAGGUAGGAUAGGUUUAACGAAUAGAAGAUUGUGUUAUUUUAUAUUUUUAUAAUUUAGAAUUGAUGGGAUAAAGCAUGUCUAGGCCUACGGGUAUGGAGUUGGGGUGGAUAAAGACACAAGGACUUAACUUUAAUCCCAAAAAAUCAAGAUUAUGUGAUAUUUAUGAUCUUAUGUAUUAUGUGCCCGAAAGGAGAUUGUUGUAAAUGUAAUAUAUGAACAUGAUAUUUUUUUUAGUUGUUCUAGUGAUGAACCUAGUUGAGUUAUAAUGGUAUUUAGUUGUAUGUAUGGUGCAUUAAUAUGAUGAGGAGAAUUAUGCUAAUAUUGAAUAUUGAUGAGCAUAGUAAUAUCUAAGGGAUAAAUGACUUGAAUUAGUGUGAUGAUUGCAUUAUGUAAAAAGAGGUAAAGGAUAAUGAUAUGCGUGAAUGUGCUAGUUAUAGGUGGUGAAGUUAGAACUCAAGUUGCAGUAUUUAAGAAGGUAAUGAUAUUUUUAAUAAUUAAUGAGUAAUUAAGGCUCCAACAGUGACUUGUAUACUUAAGCAUUAAAUUGUUAUUUAUUUUAUAAUAUUCUUGUGUUGGUAUUGAUAAAAGUACUAUAUCUAUUGGAUGCCCAUGAGAGGCUAAAUUAGUGAUAAUGAUGGUUUAUUGAAUUGUCCCUAUGAAUGGCUUGUUUGAUAACAAUAAUUCCUUAAAGUAAUGUUAUGAAUGGCUUGUGGAUAAUCAUGAUGAAUUAUUGAAAUAAUGCCCGUGAGGGGGAUAAAAUAUUGAUAAAUGAAAGUACUUGAUCAAAUUUCUUUAUGAUUUUAAGUACACGUAUAGAUUUGGUAUGUCGUAUUGCAUCCCGAAAGAUUGUGUGAAUUUAAUAAAAUGUAUAUAAUAGGUUAUGGUUUAAUUGGAGUUUAAACUCGACUUAAUUGUGUGUAUGCUCCUAAAUUGAAUACUUGUUGAUUAGUAUUCGAGCAUGCUAGAAAUUGUUGAUGUUUGAAUUGUUGAUGCGUGUAUAAAUGAUUAUUAAAAUUUACUUGAUGAAAUUGUCUUAUUACUUUAAGUAUACUUGUAAACUUGGUACAUCGUAUUGUAUGCUGUGAGGUUGUGUAAAUUUGAUAUUGUUAUUAUUUGUAUAUGUUGGAUUGGGUGCCACGCCGGUACGGAUAUGUAUAUGUUGAAUCGGGUAUCACGCCGGUACGGAUAUGUAUAUAUUGGAUCGGGUACCACGCCGGUACGGAUAUGUAUAUAUUGGAUCGGGUACCACGCCGGUACAGAUAUGUAUAUAUUGGAUCGGGUACCACGCUGGUACGGAUAUGUAUAUGAUGGAUCGGGUACCGCGCCAAUACGAAUAUGUAUAUGUUGGAUCGGGUACCACGCCGGUACGGUACAUGAACAUGGAUCGUUCCCUGCAGAUCAUGACCAUUUGAGCAAAAAUAAGUCUCAUAGCAUAUGUGUACAUAUUUGUGUUGAGUCUGUGGAUGUUUAUGGUAUGGUUGAUACUCUUGAUGGUUAUGUGGCUUGAUUGUGAGCCUGUUUGAUCUGUUAUUGUUGUAUUGUUGAUUCAUUAAGUAUUUGAUUGUGUAAUAUGUAUUUGAAAAAGUAAAAUUUUGUACUUACUCGUAUGUUGGUUGACUUGAUUCAUUUAUACGUGUUUUAAUUGUAGCUUAUCAGAAUGGCUAGUUAUCAUUCUUUAAUAAGAGAACAUUUGGUUGUUAGCUCGAGAGUUUAGUGUGGAUUGUCUAUGAUUACGGAUUUAUUCUUGUGAAUAUGAAUAAUGAAAAAGAUAAAGUGAAUAAAGAGGAAUGGUGAUGUAUUAGGUUGGAUUAUGGUGUGAAUUAACAAGGUUAGAAUAUGUUAGUAGCGAAUAUAAUGCUGAUGGAGUUGGAAGAGUAGUUGGAUGAUGUAACUUAUAUAGGUAAAGUAAUAAUAUUAUUACAACCUUAGUUGAAUUAUAUUUCAUUCAAGAUGUCAUGAUUUUUCCUUAAUUAUAUUUUAUGAUUAUAUGAACUAAUACGGUCGGCCGAUGAUGCCUACCAGUAUGUGUGGUUGUACUGACCCUACUCUUCUACAUUCCUUCUUGGAGUGUAGAUUGGAUGCAGGUUAAUUUGCAGUUAUUAGAUGGAUUACAAUAUUCAACACUAACUUCUGCACUUUCUUCCUGGUAGAUGUUAGAGUAUUUGUAUUAUUUAUUUUAUUGUCAGUCUAUGCUAUAGUAUAUAGCUCUUGUAUAUGUCUAGCCAAGUCUUGAAGAGUGAAG
rnacentral:lncRNA from 1 species